GGCGAUCGAGGUUGACGAUGCUAUAACAGUUCUUCUUUCAUCUCUACAUUUCGAACACAAACGUGAUAUUGUUCCGACCGAUGAAGAUGAUAAUAAACUUCGAGAACUUCACGAAAAGAUUUUUGCAUUGAUAACGAGUGAAUCUGAUGUUAACAGGUAAAUCCGAAAUUUUCAGAAUAUUUUUCAAAAAAUCGUUUAAUUUUAGAAAAAGACGGCUGAAAAAAGCUCUUCCUGCGUCAAACUGUGUUAGAGAACAAGUAUAUUAUCUUCGAAGGAAACCAUCAACACCACCAGCUUCUUAUUAUCAUCGACUAAAUGCAGCUCUUCACACAAUCGUUAAGGAAUCAUUUGGAGAAGAAUAUCGAAAAGUUGCUACAGUAUUAGGACUUGUUGAAGCGCUUGCAGAAGUUUUAAUUCUUGAAGUUCACACAUUUGGAAUCAAUGAGACCAAUCCUGGAGAGCAUCGAAAUAUUCGAAAACUUAUUGCCAAUGCUCUUACGAAUUUAACAUACGGUCAAAUUCACUCUAAACGCCGGCUAUGCUCAUAUGAUGGAUUCAUUCGAUGCGUUGUUCGAAUUGUGAUCGAAUCUCCAAAUAUAACUCAAGUAUACGCUGGACUAAUCAGAAAUCUCUCAUGGAACGCCGAUUCAGGAAUGAGUGAAGCUCUUCAACCAACAGUUCAUGCACUUUCAAUUGCUGCAGUACAUGCACAUACACAUAGAUUCGAUGUUACAGCAACAUUAUCUGCUUUGUGGAAUCUUGCUGGUCACUCAGUAGAGAAUAAACGAACUAUUUGUGAUACUCCGAAUUGUUUAAAAGUAUUAGCCAGCCUUCUAUCUCCUGAUGCAAGAUUCACGUCACUUGUUGAUUCAGCUACUGGAAUUCUGAAGUAUGUAUCACAAUAUCUCGCGAAUACUUCCACGCAUUUAGAG
rnacentral:sRNA from 1 species